rnacentral:lncRNA from 1 species
AUGUUUACUGUAAUGUAUUCUAUAGACUGCUACAUUGUCUAUGUAAAUAUUGUUGUUGUGAUACUAAUAAAGUUAUUGAUAAGUAACUAUAAGUCCUCUGUACUUCCCUUCUGCCUCUGUGUCCUUCAUUAUUAUAGUGUUUGGCAACUAUUGACCAAUAAGUCAAGUACACAGAACAGCCUGGUGGUAACAGUCUACUGGUGGUAACAGUCUGGUGGUAACAGCCUGGUGGUAACAGCCUGGUGGUGGUAACAGCCUGGUGGUGGUAACAGUCUGGUGGUGGUAACAGUCUGGUGGUAAGUCUGGUGGUAACAGUCUGGUGGUGGUAACAGUCUGGUGGUAACAGUCUGGUGGUGGUAACAGUCUGGUGGUAACAGCCUGGUGGUAACAGCCUGGUGGUAACAGUCUGGUGGUGGUAACAGUCUGGUGGUAACAGUCUGGUGGUGGUAACAGUCUGGUGGUGGUAACAGUCUGGUGGUGGUAACAGUCUGGUGGUGGUAACAGUCUGGUGGCAACAGUCUGGUGGCGGUAACAGCCUGGUGGUAACAGCCUGGUGGUAACAGCCUGGUGGUAACAGCCUGGUGGUAACAGCCUGGUGGUAACAGUCUGGUGGUGGUAACAGUCUGGUGGUAACAGUCUGGUGGUGGUAACGGUCUGGUGGUGGUAACAGUCUGGUGGUGGUAACAGUCUGGUGGUAACAGUCUGGUGGUGGUAACAGUCUGGUGGUAACAGUCUGGUGGUAACAGUCUGGUGGUAACAGUCUGGUGGUGGUAACAGUCUGGUGGUGGUAACAGUCUGGUGGUAACAGCCUGGUGGUAACAGCCUGGUGGUAACAGUCUGGUGGUGGUAACAGUCUGGUGGUAACAGUCUGGUGGUAACAGUCUGGUGGUGGUAACAGUCUGGUGGUGGUAACAGUCUGGUGGUGGUAACAGUCUGGUGGUGGUAACAGUCUGGUGGUGGUAACAGCCUGGUGGCGGUAACAGCCUGGUGGUAACAGUCUGGUGGUGGUAACAGUCUGGUGGUGGUAACAGCCUGGUGGUAACAGUCUGGUGGUGGUAACAGUCUACUGGUGGUAACCGCCUGGUGGUAACAGUCUGGUGGUAACAGCCGGUGGUGGUAACAGUCUGGCGGUAACAGUCUGGUGGUAACAGUCUGGUGGUGGUAACAGUCUGGUGGUGGUAACAGUCUGGUGGUGGUAACAGUCUGGUGGUGGUAACAGUCUGGUGGUGGUAACAGCCUGGUGGCGGUAACAGCCUGGUGGUAACAGUCUGGUGGUGGUAACAGUCUGGUGGUGGUAACAGCCUGGUGGUAACAGUCUGGUGGUGGUAACAGUCUACUGGUGGUAACCGCCUGGUGGUAACAGUCUGGUGGUAACAGCCGGGUGGUGGUAACAGUCCGGUGGUGGUAACAGUCUGGUGGUAACAGUCUGGUGGUGGUAACAGUCUGGUGGUAACAGUCUGGUGGUGGUAACAGUCUGGUGGUGGUAACAGUCUGGUGGUGGUAACAGUCUGGUGGUGGUAACAGUCUGGUGGUGGUAACAGUCUGGUGGUAACAGCCUGGUGGUAACAGCCUGGUGGUAACAGCCUGGUGGUAACAGCCUGGUGGUAACAGUCUGGUGGUGGUAACAGUCUGGUGGUGGUAACAGUCUGGUGGUGGUAACAGUCUGGUGGUAACAGUCUAGUGGUGGUAACAGUCUGGUGGUAACAGUCUGGUGGUGGUAACAGUCUGGUGGUGGUAACAGCCUGGUGGUGGUAACAGUCUGGUGGUGGUAACAUCCUGGUAGUGGUAACAGUCUGGUGGUAAGUCUGGUGGUAACAGCCUGGUGGUGGUAACAGCCUGGUGGUGGUAACAGCCUGGUGGUGGUAACAGUCUGGUGGUGGUAACAGUCUGGUGGUAAGUCUGGUGGUAACAGUCUACUGGUGGUAACAGUCUGGUGGUGGUAACAGCCUGGUGGUGGUAACAGUCUGGUGGUAAGUCUGGUGGUAAGUCUGGUGGUAACAGUCUACUGGUGGUAACAGCCUGGUGGUGGUAACAGUCUGGUGGUGGUAACAGCCUGGUGGUGGUAACAGUCUGGUGGUGGUAACAGUCUGGUGGUGGUAACAGCCUGGUGGUGGUAACAGUCUGAUGGUGGUAACAGUCUGGUGGUGGUAACAGCCUGGUGGUGGUAACAGUCUGGUGGUGGUAACAGUCUGGUGGUAACAGUCUGGUGGUAACAGUCUGGUGGUAACAGUCUGGUGGUAACAGUCUACUGGUUGUAACAGUCUACUGGUGGUAACAGUUUGGUGGUAACAGUCUGGUGGUGGUAGCAGUCUGGUUGUAACAGCCUGGUGGUGGUGGUAACAGUCUACUGGUGGUAACAGCCUACUGGUGGUAACAGCCUGGUGGCGGUAACAACCUGGUGGUAACAGUCUGGUGGUGGUAACAGUCUGGUGGUGGUAACAGCCUGGUGGUAACCGUCUGGUGGUAACAGCCGGGUGGUGGUAACAGUCUACUGGUGGUAACAGCCUACUGGUGGUAACAGCCUGGUGGCGGUAACAGCCUGGUGGUAACAGUCUGGUGGUGGUAACAGUCUGGUGGUGGUAACAGCCUGGUGGUAACAGUCUGGUGGUAACAGCCGGGUGGUGGUAACAGUCUACUGGUGGUAACAGCCUACUGGUGGUAACAGCCUACUGGUGGUAACAGCCUACUGGUGGUAACAGCCUGGUGGUAACAGUCUGGUGGUGGUAACAGUCUGGUGGUGGUAACAGUCUGGUGGUGGUAACAGUCUGGUGGUGGUAACAGUCUGGUGGUGGUAACAGUCUGGUGGUAACAGCCUGGUGGUAACAGUCUGGUGGUGGUAACAGUCUGGUGGUGGUAACAGUCUGGUGGUAACAGUCUGGUGGUGGUAACAGUCUGGUGGUGGUAACAGUCUGGUGGUGGUAACAGUCUGGUGGUGGUAACAGUCUGGUGGUGGUAACAGCCUGGUGGUAACAGCCUGGUGGUAACAGCCUGGUGGUAACAGUCUGGUGGUGGUAACAGUCUGGUGGUGGUAACAGUCUGGUGGUAACAGUCUAGUGGUGGUAACAGUCUGGUGGUGGUAACAGUCUGGUGGUAACAGUCUGGUGGUGGUAACAGUCUGGUGGUGGUAACAGCCUGGUGGUGGUAACAGUCUGGUGGUGGUAACAGCCUGGUGGUGGUAACAGUCUGGUGGUAAGUCUGGUGGUAACAGUCUACUGGUGGUAACAGCCUGGUGGUGGUAACAGCCUGGUGGUGGUAACAGUCUGGUGGUGGUAACAGUCUGGUGGUAAGUCUGGUGGUGACAGUCUACUGGUGGUAACAGUCUGGUGGUAACAGCCUGGUGGUGGUAACAGUCUGGUGGUGGUAACAGUCUGGUGGUGAUAACAGCCUGGUGGUGGUAACAGUCUGAUGGUGGUAACAGUCUAUAGACU